AUAAAUACAUAGAUCACUUACAUUUAGUUCAGUCUGUGCUGCAGCGCUGACCUUCAGGGAAUAGUUGGCCACCUUAUGAGUGAUGGAUGACAUGUAUGCCAAUGUUGAAUAUGACAAGUCUGUUAACCCAAGACUUUCAACAAAUCAGACAGGUCCCAGGAGCUCAGAGAGGAGAUUUCAUGGAGCUGCUGUUCUCUGUCUGGGGCUGCUGAGUGUUUUCCUGCUGGCUAGGCUCAUCAGCCUCGGUGUCCACUCUGCAGAGCUCUCCACUAUCAAAGC